GUAACAAUUCGAAACUAUGUUUAAGUAUUCAACUAAUGACAAAGAUGACAAGGAUACAGAAGAUAACAGAAUGUAGAUUCAAGAGUUCUUUAAGUCUCUGUCCAAGGCAACAAACUAACAAUCCAUUCAUCUAGCCCGGCAGACUUCUCAAACUUAAGAGAUAAUUUUAAAUUCCUUAGGAAAUACCUGAUUAAAGCUUACUAAAACACCAGAAAAAAAAUGAAAUCAAAUGGUUUUAACUGAAUACUUAUUCUCUUGAUUCUUGAACCCUCUCAUAACCCAACCACUUCCCAUUAUGAUACCUAGUUUCCUUAUAAAAAAGCUCCAUUUUGACCCAAAGCAGAUGGAAAUUUACCUUUACUGAUUAUGUCUCCUGGGUCAUUUAUCCAAUACGUCUUGCCUCUUGCUUCAGUAUAAACUUCAGAAGUUCGAAGCUAAGCCAAAAACAAAACAGCUACAAGAUGAAGGUUAGUAAGGAUGAACCCACUCCUGGAAACAUCUAUGUCUCUGCCUUACAACUCUGAAUUCCCUCACAUCUUCCACUCAGCCUCGUAUGUAAAUGAACUCCCCUCCCUUUCCCUACUUGGAGGCAGAAAACAGGAUACCUUGCUUUACUUUCAAACUUCUCAGAGGUAGGAUGAGAUACAGAAUGGUUAUUAAGUGCUCUGAAUCUCAAGCAAAACAUAACAUACAAAAACAUAAUACAAUACUGGUUUUAACAUAUUUACCAUGUAAUGUCCAAACAGCUUUAUUCCACUACUAAGAAUCAACUAAGGAACACAUAAGACAGAAAGGACAUAAACAGAUGCAUAUACAAGUGUUAAAAGCCCAAGCAAAGCUAAAUUCACCUUUGCGCCUCAAAAGGACCAUUUUGAUUACAGGUCAGAGUUUGCAUCAUCAAAAUGAAUCGAAUUGUUCCAAGUAAUACUGAAAUAGCAGCUGAGGGUAAAAUGAACUUUAGCCACUGGACUCUGACCAUCAUCAGAGGCAGUUAUUAAAACACAGGUAUGUUAACAGGGGAAAAUAGCAGAAAAUAAAGGUGGAUGUAAUGGUUUUAAAAUAUGCUCACAAAGUAUUUGAUACUACUCCAUUCAAAAGGUAGGUCCUGCUUUUCCUCCCCUUAAGAGGAGCUAGACUUGCUUCUAACAGCAUAAAGCAAAAAUUUAAGUAGAUCCUCCUGCCUCAGUCAAGCCUUCAGAUAAAUGCAGCCCAGUCAAAAGCUUGACUGAAACCUCAUGAGAGAUCCUGGGACAGAACUACACAGCUAAGUUGUCUCAAAUUUCUGACCUACAGAAACUAUGAGAUAAUAAGUGUUUGUUGUUUGAAGCCAGUAAGUGUAGGGCUAAUUUGUUACACAGCGAGAAAUAACUAAUAGGGAGGGUAUGUUGUAGUGCACUGUGUUAUGAAUCCCAAACUGCCAUUAUGGGAGGUCGAGGCAGAUAGAUCACUUAAGGUCAGGAGUUUAAGACCAGCCUGGCCAACAUGGUAAAACCCCUUCUCUACUAAAAAUACAAAAUUUAGCCAGGUGCUGUGGCAGGCACCCGUAAUCCCAGUUACUCAGGAGGCUGAGGCAGGAGAAUCACCUGAACCCAGGAGGCAAAGGUUGCAGGGAGCCAAGAUUGCGCCACUGCACUCCAGCCUGGGAGACAGAACGAGACUGUCUCGAAAAACAAAAAAACAAACAAAAAAAUCAUUAAAGGUCCCUCCAAAGUUCUGAAAACAAGGACUACCAGAAAGAAGCACACCAGUAUUGUAGUAACUUCCCCUUCUAGUUUGAGCAAGCUAAUAGGAAUAUAAUGAGAGCCAGAAAUAUAUGCCAUUAUGUAAUUUAAAAUUUUGUAGUAGCCAUAUUAAAAAUGGUAAAAAAAAAAAGGUGAAACUAAUUUUAAGAAUAUAUUUUAUUGAAUCCAACACAGUUAAAAUAUUAGCAUUUCAACAUGUUGAUUUUAAAACAUACUCAAUAUUUUAAAAAUCUCAACAUAGUAUCUUACAUUCUUUUUUGUACUAAUUCUUCUAAAUCUAGUGUAUAGUAUUUUACAUUGAGUGCAUCCUUUUAUUUAUUCAUUUUAUUUAUUUAUUUAUUUAUUUAUUUAUUUAUUUUUUGAGAUAGGGUCUCACUGUGUCACUCAGGCCAGAGUACAGCAGCACGAUCAUCGCUCACUGUAGCCUUGACUUUCCAGGCUCAAAUGAUCCUCCCACCUCAGCUUCCCAAGUAGCUGGGACCACAAGCCUGUGUCACCAUACCCAGUUAAUUUUUUAAUUUUUUGUAGAAAUGGGGUCUCUCUAUGUUGCCCAAGCUGGUCUCAAACUCUUGGGUUCAAGUGAUCCUCCCACUUCGGCCUCCCAAAGUGCUGGAAUUACAAGCGUGAGGUACCAUGCCUAGCUUUUUUAUUUUUUAUUAUAAUUUCAUAUAAGAACAGAGAUGCGGGUCUCACUUUGUUGCCCAAGCGAUCCUCCCACCUCAGCCUCUCAAAGUGCUGGGAUUACAGGCAUGAGCCACUGCACCCGGCCUGAGAGUGCAGCUCUAUAGCCACAUGUGGCUACCGUAUUACCAUAUUACACAGCAAGUCUAGAGGAUUUCUUCUACAGCCUGUUACCCCUUCAGAAACAUGAGUGUAGAGCCCAGGGAGGCAAAAGUAAAGAAUGUUUUAGAUAACUAAAGGAUCCUUUUUAUUGUCUUUACUGAGAUAUCUCAUUUGAGCAGGUCCCAAGCUGGGAAAGGACAGCCUUCAUGAAAGAAAAGAAAGAGGGAAAGGACAGUGCUUACUGUUAGAAAGAGGAACAACUACUUUGAAGAACUGAAAAGAAACUAAUACUUCCUACAAAACAUCAAAACCAAUCAUCAGAGUAUAGAGAACAUCAUCUACCUUUUUACGUGAUAUUCCCCUCAGCAUUCAGUCACCCAUUCAUCUCAUACACAGGCUACAUCCAUUUGAAAUGGAAAGAUGCAGUUUGUUCCGAAUAAGAAGGUUUGGAAGGAAAUAAAUGGGGAAAAACACUGAGUGAAAGAACAUUUGCCUUUCUCCAAACACAAAAACCUUCCCCAUUUAACACAUUUGCCUCCUCUCCGCCGGCAAUGUUAUCUCCUAGGAUCAUAGCUUUCAAGAAUAAACCAAACCCAGAGCCUGCCGGGAGACAGUGAUCCAACUGAUACGGUUUGGCUCUGUGUCCCCCACAAAAUCUCAUCUCAAAUUGUAAUCCCCACGUGUCAGAGGAGGGGCCUGGUGGGAGGUAACUGAAUCAUGGGGACAGACAUCCCCCUUGAUGUUCUCAGGAUGAGUGAGUUCUCGAGUGAUCGUUUAAAAGCAUGUGGCACCUCCCCCUUCACACUCUCUCUCUCUCCUGCUCCACCAUGGUUAAGAUGUGCUUGCUUCCCCUUCUGCCAUGAUUGUAAGUUUCCUGAGGCCUCCCAGUCAUGCCUCCUGUUAAGGCUUUGGAACUGUGAGUCAAUUAAAUCUCUUUUCUUCAUAAAUUACCCAGUCUCAGGUAGUUCUUUACAGCAGUGUGAGAACGGACUAAUACACCAACAAGAAAAUCUCUUCCAGUGCAACCAAGUCACCCUUUUCCUCCUCCUCCUCCUGCUUCUUGAGGAGCUAGAUUCAGACGAUUAUGGAAAAAAGCCCAGCUGUGUGAGUCACUGCAGCCAUCCCAAGGGGCCUGGGCAAAAUCCAGAGGACAGCUGGAAACAGCUGUUGUGAGAUCAACUGCAACUAGGAGGGAAGGAGGAAAAAGAGGAUGAAUUCAUAGUUUAUUACACAUGAUCCCAUUCUGGCCUCAGCAAAGCUUGUUUUUAUUUUCUCUCCCAAAUGAAAAGUUUCUUCUCCCUUCUUACUAAAGAUUCUUCUUCUAACAAAGAAAAUAAUAAUUGAUUCACCAAUAAAAACCUCCUGAGAUCAUUAUCCAAUCUACUAUGGGGGAUACCAUUCCCCUCACCCAUAUGUCUCCCACGGUACAGGAUAAACAAGAAUCCAACAGGUGAGGAAAGAAUUAUCUUAAAAAAAAUAUCUGUAAGGCUGGGCACGGUGGCUUAUAUCUGUAAUCCCAGCACUUUGAGAGGCCAAGGUGGUUGGGUCACUUGAAGCCAGGAGUUCAAGACCAGCCUGGCCAACAUGGCGAAACCCCAUCUCUAUUAAAAUCAGCCAGGCAUGGUGGCAAGUGCCUGUAAUCCCAGCUACUCAGGAGGCUGAGGCAUGAGAAUCACCUGAGCCUGGUAGGUGGAGGUUGCAGUGAGCUGAGAUUGUGCCACUACACUCCAGCCUAGGCAACAGAGCAAGAGCAAGACUCUGUCUCAAAAAAAAAAAAAAGAAAAAAAAAAGCUGUAAAGGCAACUGUAAAGGCAAGACACCUUUGACUUGAAUAAAGCUCUUAAAAAGAGAAAAAAAAGUCACCAGGAAAUAUGAGGCUGCUGAGAUCUAGCAGAGAAAUAGCCCCAAGGAAAGAGAGGUUGCUCUAUGGUUCCUUACACGAUAAUAUUAUAAAUGCUUUGUUGAUUAAGGAAGAAAUGUCAGAAGAGUGUUUAUUUGCACAGCUAGAGGGCAACCAGCCUUAGGAUGUCUAAUCCCCUUUCCUAUCAGCCAAAAAGAUGUAGAUCUCCACACAUCAAUCCUGAGGUCCUGAAGAAAAUGGUGACUGACACCACAAGUCCAGAUACUGUGGUAAAAUGAAGAGCAGGUACCUUUCCUAAGAAAGAACUUCUCAGAGUUUGAUAGGUAAGGGAAGAAUAGGGAUUUACUGGCAUUUGAUACAAACUAAUAUUGAUUUAAUGGGCUCUGAUAAUAUGAGACUUAGGAAACUAAUAAGCAUUCUCCUCUACCUGGUCUUAACACACCCAGACAUCCACCCUUCAAAAUCCCUGGGCUUACAGCUCAAAUGGUUUUGAUCAACACAUAUUCCUCAGUGGUCAGUCUUGGAUUCUACAGUUCUUUCAGACAUUCACACAAUAGAAGCGGUCAUACCUUAAAAUUUACCAGCCAAACCAUACAUGAGAAUAGAAGAACUGCUGCCUUCAGAAGUCUAGAGAUAUAUUUAAAAGCCAACAAAAUCUCCUCUAACUCUCUCAGCUGCCCACCUGCCAUCAAUAACACUGUUCCUAAAGUAAGGUACAAAGGUUCAAAAUCCCUCUAUGCAUUCUCUGCUCCCUAGUGUGGCCCUGUCACUACAGAACUUCAAUUAUUUCUUCCACAAAUAUUUUUAAAUACUGUAUUUACAUUCCAUCUCAUUUCAAUAUAUAUAAGACCUCUUGCAACUAAUUGCCAAAGAGAGCCACAGGAGAUCCUGUAAAUAGUGGAAGGAACUGAGAUGCGGAGGGAGUAUAGAGGAAAGUCUGAGUCAGCUCCCAAGGCCAAAGGAACACUUCCCUUGGCCUCCCAGGCUUAACAUUAAAAUAACUGUCGGAUGCAGUGGCUCACACCUAUAAUCCUAGCACUUUGGGAGGUUGAGGCAGGAAGAUCGCUAGAGCCCAGGAGUUUGAAUCAGCCUGGGCAACACAGUGCCUAGGCUAUAGUGCCUCAUGGCUACAAAAAAUAAAUAAAAAAUUACCCAGACAUGGUGGCACACCUGUAGUCCCAGCCACUUAGGAGGCUUAGGUGGGAGGACUGCUUGAGCCUGAGAAGUCAAGGCUGCAGUGAGCCGUGACCGAACCACCACACUCCAGACUGGGUGACAGAGUGCGACCCUGUCUCAAAAAAAUAAAAUAAUGACAUCUUUGUUAAAAAGAUGUAAAAGUCAGAAAAAGUUUUUCAGUUGCCUUAGCUAACAUUUUGCAUCUCCCUCUUUUUCUCCUUUAUGCUUCUCCUUUCCAAGUGUACAGCAAAUCUAGAAUUUUAUACUAAAUUCUGAUACAAUUUUAUAUUAUAUAUAGUUUUAUCUUUCCCACCAAUACAAUAGCAAGGUAUGACCCUAUACCAUAUUUUACACCAUCAACUUACCUUAUUUAAUUUUGGCUGAGUUUGUAUAUCAUCUAACCAACUCAAUCAAAAGCCCUUACAGACCAUCUCCUAGAUCUUACAUUUCCUGCACACACUACCUCACAUAGAGAACAUCCAAUGAUACUUCUUAAUUAGGUUUUUUUUUUGAGACGGAGUUUCGCUCUUGUCGCCCAAGGUGGGAUGCAAUGGUGCGAUCUCAGCUCACCGCAACCUCUGCCUCCCGUGUUCAAGCAAUUCUCCUGCCUCAGCCUCCCGAGUAGCUGGGAUUACAGGCAUGCACCACCACGUCCAGCUAAUUUUUGUAUUUUUGGUAGAGACGGGGUUUCACCACGUUGACCAGACUGGUCUCGAACUCCUGACCUCAGGUGAUCCACCCGCCUUAGCCUCCCAAAGUGCUGAGAUUACAAGCAUGAGCCACCGCGCCUGGCCAAUUAGGUUAUAUUUCAUAUAAAAUGAGUGCAAGAGUGAGAUGGAGUGAUUCAAUCUAAAAUGCACAAAGUGAGAAAGCAAUCAAGGUGAGCCACCCUCCAGAAGACAGGAAGAAAAAAAGCAUUUGAUCAAAUCUUAUGAGAUGACAUCUGGAGCCUCUGCACCUCGUCACAACAGCCAAGUCUAUCAGUAACAUAGCUAAGUCGCCACAGCCACUUGUACUUUCAUCCCCUUCUCCUUCAGUAUUUCUGAUGACCACAAUAACUUCCUUUCCAAUUAGCCACAGUGGCAGCCACUGCCAUGAUAAUCAACAAUGAUUUUAAUAAGUCUAGGCGUCUGUUUUCAAGGGCAACAUGAGGAAGCCAACAGAUGAGAAUGUCCCAGGCCAGCUCUGGAGUAUCCAUGAGGUUGAAAGGGUAAAAAGGGGUCUGUGAAAGGAGAUGAACAUGAGCUAAAAGGUCAGAAUGUAUUCAACUCAAAUGUGCUCAUGGUAGUAACCAUGGGAUUUUUUUACUUUUUUUUCUCCAACCAAGACAACAAGAAAAAAUUAAUAAUAAUUAUGGUCUAAUGGCAACGUACAAAAUGAAUCUUAAAAAAUAAGUGAUGACCUGUAAUCCCAGCACUUUGGGAGGCCAAGGCAGGAGGACUGCUUGAGGCCGAGAGUUCAAGACCAGCCUGGGUAACAUGGCAAGUCCCUGUCUCUACAAAAAAAAAAAAAAAAAAAAAUUUAGAACUAGCCAGGCAUAGUGGCAUACCUGUUGUCAUAGCUACUCAGGAGGCUGAAGUGGGAGGAUCGCUGGGGCCCAAGAGUUGGAGGUUAAAAUGAACUGUGAUAACACCACUGCAAUACAGCCUGGCAACAGAGCAAGACUCUGUCUCUAAAAAAACAUAAAAAUAAGUGAUGAAAAUAAUUGACCAUUAUACUUUAGAGGGACUUCUCAUAUAAGAAUUUUGGUUAGGAGAUGAAAGAUAUGUAGACUAAAAGCUACAAAACGUUGAUCAAAGAAAUUGAAAACAUAAACAGAAAGAUAGCCCAUGUUCAUGGGGGAAAAAAGAGGAUUUUGGUUAAGCACACACACUGUUGCAUAGGUACUACUGUCCAUGCUUAGCAGACAGAGGCAGACAGGGAAGAAGUUACAAAUCCUAGCUCGAGGUUUCACAGACGACAUGUAUCCAAAGACAGAAACUAGAUUUCUUGAAGGCAUAAUUUACAGGGGGAACUUUUGUCUUAGACAUGAAAUAUAAAACAUACAGGAAUGCAUCAUUAGCUUUACAUAUUUAACAUCCAAAUCAAGAAAUAUAAAAGUUAUAUAUAUAUAUAUAUAUAUAUUUUUUUUUUUUGAGAUGGAGUCUCACUCUUGUUGCCCUGGCUGGAGUACAGUGGCACGAUCUCAGCUCACUGUUACCUCCGCCUCCCAGGUUCAAGUGAUUCUCCUGCCUCAGCCUCCCGAAUAGCUAGGAUUACGGACACCCGCCACUACACCUGGCUAAUUUUUGUAUUUUCAGUAGAGACAGGGUUUCGCCAUGUUGGCCAGGCUGGUCUCAAACUCCUGAUCUCAGGUGAUCCACCAACCUCGGCCUCCUAAAGUGCUGGAAUUACAAGCAUGAGCCACCGUGCCUGGCCCAAAAGUUGUAUUUCUUAUAACAAUGCUAAAACACACUAUGUUUAAACAUAAAGUUUCAGAGCUCAGAGGGAUUGCUAGACAAUAGAUCAAUAGCAAUUCCAACACACACUGUAUCCAAGGAGUUCAAGGCACUUGGCUUUAAAUACUACAUAUGUGCAACAUGAAUAA
ensembl:lncRNA novel transcript